CUUUAUGGAGCGGUUAAUCAACUGCGCAUCAGCGAGACAGCGCAUCAGCCCAUCUGCUUGAUAUAUAUUCAGGAGGGCUCCAGCCCUUUUGAAGUCUAAUUUCUUCCCCGGGAGAACGCGCCGGGUAAUUUACCAUCAUUUCAUACGCAUCGCGGCCACCGAGUUAACCCUUUCCCCAAGCGCUGCCCGCACGGGAUUUUCCUCCCGAAAAACGCCGGGUGCAACGCUACAAACUUGUCAAAGCGUCUUUCCGAUGAUGCUCCUUGAAAUAAGAGAUCGCAGCUCACCGACACUGUAACCCCUUGGAUCUGUCGGGUUAGAAAGGAGGGGUUGUGAAAGAUCUGCUUGGGAUAAGCAAACGCUUAGAACCGCCCAUGCCAACGCGCAUCAUUUCAUCCCCAACCACCUACUGCUGGCUUUGUUUUUAAGAUCUUUGGGAUUUUGUUUUUAUUUUUUAUUUCUUUAUUUCUUUAUUUUCGCAGGACCCAGCCCCAUAGCGGCAGUGCGAGCAGUCACUCCUUCUCUGUUACCUGCAAUAAAUGCCAUCUCCUGCAGCAGUUUUUUUCCUCCGAAGUCUGCUUUUAAAAGGAGGGACACGGGAGGGCUUGUGUUUGUCCGUGCCACACAAAUGCUGCCUUGGGAAAAGGCUCAGUGCAUGGGGUUAGGCUGACCCAGGGGCAAGGACAAAGCUGGCACUCCGGGAACCAGGGAUCCCUGUUAGGUGUGGACACCAGGCUCUUCUGUGCUGCUUUUUGAAAAGGCAGAGGAAAGUGGGCCAAAUGCUUCCAUACAAUUGCAUUUCUUUGGAUUUAAGGUCCCUUCCAACAUAAGCCAUUCCAUGAUGUCAGUUCCUGUGAUAGAAGCUUCUCUUUUAUUAUUUGUUUCUUAUCCACCUGCAUGCUCCUUUUUGUUUCUCCCUCUAUUUUCCUCUGGCUGGUACUUAUGCUGAACUAAGUCCCACUGUUAAGGAUGGUCCAUCAAAAUGCUGGCUCUGGGCUGACAGCUGGGAUGACUUGUUGGAUCACUUCCACACCUAUGUGCUUAACCCUACGGCAGUCGUACAGCUGGGAGCUUGCCCAAACCGUUGGCCAGCAUCCCUUGUUGGGACUGCUGCCUCCAGUUCUUAGACUGGCUGCUUCUCCCUGUGUCCUGUUUGUGGCAAAAGACAUAGGACCUACCAGGGUUAGGUGACCUUCGGUAUCAGGGCAAGAGCACAGGUUGUGUGUCAUCUUACGCUUCUUGCACCAUGUACUUCUUCUCCAGUCCCUUCAGAAGUAUUCCCAGCGAGGAGACUGUGUUCAACGCUAGGGAUGCUGCUUUCCUCCAUUAUAGAGAUGGUUCACCUGGGCUAUGCCUCCUUCUGGGGCUCUGCUUCCUCCUGCCCUGGGAAGCAGGAUGUAGAGCAGAUGCCUUACUCCAGCUUUAGUUUGUUUUUUGGAGUGGAUUGAGAGGGAGGGUAGAGCAGAGAUUUCUGUUAAAGGGCACAGCUGAGGAAGCCUUGGGAAGGAUGGCAGCUGCAGGCAGCUUCAGCAGGCAAGUCAUUCUCCCCACCUGUAGCUUGUUCCAUCCUCAGAGUUCAUUCAGGUCACUUAGAGGUGAGAAAGCUUGAAAUAGGAUGCACACACAGCUCCCUUUGGAUCUUCCUCCAUGAUGUGGGUGUUAUCUGGAUGUUGCUUUUUGGAGAGAAGGAAAGAUGCAUUCUGAUGUGCAGAGAUACCUACAGGCCUUGAUCAUGCUUCAGCAACCAGCCCUGUGAAACUCACACAGCACAGGAUUACGGAGCUGAGCAAGUGAGGAAGGAGUCAGAGCACUGGACUCUCCAUUUACCACCACCACAAAGAUGAUAAAACACUUCUCCACUUGGAGCCACUGUGGCUUCUGACUGCCAUGUCAUUUUCUGAGAGGUAAUGCCAACCCAACUAGAAACCCUUGAUGGCAUGCCUGUGCUUUUCACAAAGAGCUGCCCCCCAUCCCAAGAGGUAUGUGCCCUGCAGGCCUGUGGCUGGCCACCACAUGAGGAGCAGCAUGCCCAGCUCCUGGCACUGCUGGUGGCAGCGCUCUAGGCCGUCACCCCUCUAACUCUUCCUGCACCCAGGGAGCCUCUCUCACGCAUACCGAUCAACCACAGGCACGAGAUAACCAAAAAAGCAAAUAUUGCCCCAAUGAGGUCUUAAGUCAAUAUUUGAGCUGCUGCCUGGCCUGUUUGAUGACAGCCAGAGGUUGGAGGUCACCUACCUGUUGAUGGUGGCACUGGGAGUACAGGAGGCAGGGUCAGCAAUCAUCCAUGCUACUGUUCAACUAGGUUUGUUUGCUGAUCGAGUGUGUCAGCUACACAACUCAUUCCGGUCUCUUCUCUGGGAGCUUUCUACUGAUACAGAAAUAAGGGACGUAGAAAAACCCAGUUCUUCUUACCAACAGCUCCUAUAUUUAGUUCUUCUGAAAUGUCUUUUGCCCUUCUUGAAAACUUCUGGGAGAUAGCAGGGAUAAAUCCAGAGGGUUUGUCACUGAACCCAAAAGGUAGUAGGAUUUGGUGCUAAACACUACAGCUUGUGUCCACUACAUCGGAGA
ensembl:lncRNA